AGUGUCACAUUCCCCACGCCCGCUCCGGGUUCCUCUUACCCAGCGCGCGGCAGCUCCCGAGGACCAGCGCGACCGCGGGCGCGGCCAGCAGGGCGACCAACAGCGUGCAGCCGACGGUCAGCAUGCUUCCUUCUACGCGGGACGGCGGGCGGCAGAGCAGCUCCGCAGCCGUGGCCGGGCGGCCGGCAGACUGGGGCAGCGAGAGCAGUCGCCCUCGGCCUCGGGCUCCACACUCAGCUCGCACUGCGAGCGCUCGCCCCGGCGUGGCUCAGAUCGGUGUGGGCGCGACUUCCCACAUGCACGUGACACACAGCAGCCGGCCGUCCUGGCAACAGCGAAACAUUUGAGGAACCGGUGCUGAAGCUCCUCUUGGCAGCCCCGGCUUGCGGUUACGAAAGCCCAGUAGGAUGGCGCAAUCGGCCAGCGCUCCGGGCCACCGGAGGGGGUUACUUCCUGCAGCCGCGCCACACCUGAGCCCCCAGGGACCCCCACCAGGGCCCCUCCCCAGGUUUUGACGCUGAGAUAAGGAGAAAUAUCCCCCUCCUUCCUUCCCUCCGCGCCUCCGCUUGAGUUUUGCUUUCAUGAGCGCCAGCCACUGGCUCUGGCUGUUAAAGUAGAAGGCAGGUCAGUGUCCUGGGUGCUUACGGGAAUCAAACAGGGAAUCCGAAAAGACACCGAUGUCUGAAGCCCAGAGAUUGUGAUUUAAUUGGUCUGAAGGAAAACUUAGGCGUCCAUAACCUGAGAAAAAGAUUUCCUCUCAUCUUCCAGUGGAGGAGCAGCUCUUUGAAGGCUGCUGCAGAGGCAACGAAACCAGUGUGCGCUUUUGAGUCUGGCCCAGAGACACAUGUGUUACCCUCCUCAAGAUUGCUAUCCCCGAUCCGGAAGUCUCAGUUUUCUCACCUAUUAGAGAUGUAUUUUUAAGCCCAUGAUAAAGAUUCCUGGAAACACUGUCGAUGUACCUGGAGCCUAACUACUCAACAAGGAGUAGGGCUUUGAUUACCCAUCAUGACUUGACUGGACACAAAGGCACCGGCGUGUGCUAUUUACCAGACUCCACCAAGGUUCCCUUCCAAGCUACAGAGCUUGAAGCUACAGGGCAGCUUCCCAUGCAAAUGCGGAGGGAAAGAAACACACU
ensembl:antisense Gm42809 predicted gene 42809